AAUUCUCAACCCCUCUCGAUUAGCUUCGAGAGGGUGCUUGGAUAGUGGAGGUUGUCGGAGACUCGGAUUCGUCCAAGACUCGGACUCUUCUGAAAUGCAUCGGCUUGCGGUCGACUUUCGACUAUGUGCGACAAGGCUUUCGGCGUGAUAAUGAUCGCCGUUCGCUGAAGCGCAUGACCGAAGGUUCCGUGCCUCUAAUACGUCGACCACUUACUAUCUCUCCGGAGAGAACGGGGUCUUCCUAAUCGAC
rnacentral:misc_RNA from 1 species